CUGUGGUUGGAUCAUGUGCAGCCAGAUAUUCCUUGUGAAGACCUCAAAUUAUGUUACAUCAUAAAAGGAGAAACACUUCAUGAGACUUUUCCAUUUUAUGUGAAAAAGUUUUUUGGCCCCGAGGGAGAGUAUCAGAUUAUCCUCACCAUAAACGUUGUUGAUGACCUUGAAAACAAACUGCCAAUACA